rnacentral:rRNA from 1 species
CCUAAGACAUGCAAGUCGAGCGGGGCAUCUUCGGAUGCCUAGCGGCGGACGGGUGAGUAACACGUGGAUAAUCUACCUCGUCAUCUGGGAUAACAGCCCGAAAGGGCUGCUAAUACUGGAUAAGCUCACGGCACCGCAUGGUGCAGGGAGAAAAGGCGCUGCAAGGCGCUGUGACGAGAGGAGUCCGCGGCCCAUUAGCUAGUUGGAGGGGUAACGGCCCACCAAGGCGACGAUGGGUAGCCGGCCUGAGAGGGCGACCGGCCACACUGGGACUGAGACACGGCCCAGACUCCUACGGGAGGCAGCAGUCGGGAAUUUUGCACAAUGGCCGAAAGGCUGAUGCAGCAACGCCGCGUGAGUGAAGAAGGCCUUCGGGUUGUAAAGCUCUGUUGACCGGGAAGAACGGUCUCGUCAGGAAAUGGGCGAGAUUUGACGGUACCGGUAGAGGAAGCCCCGGCUAACUACGUGCCAGCAGCCGCGGUAAUACGUAGGGGGCGAGCGUUGUCCGGAUUUAUUGGGCGUAAAGGGCGUGUAGGCGGCCUGUUAAGUCAGGGGUGAAACUCCGCAGCUCAACUGCGGACCUGCCUCUGAAACUG